UACUAUCUGAUGGUAGUGGGUUAUCUGAGCUUAUUAACAUUAGUGUCACUAGAGUUGGUAGUCAAACCCCAACUGCCAAGUUUGACUGGCUUAA
rnacentral:Y_RNA from 1 species